GAUAACACGAGUAAAACAUGCACGGCAAUUAGAAAAGGAGUAUGAAAAGGAGGGUCAAGGCAGCUUCAUUUACUAUUUUAAAUACAGAGACAACUCUUGCUGGUAACUACAAAUUAUCUUUUCUUUGCACAUCAAACGUUUAAAUCACGCCAUGAGAAGAAGAAUUAUCUUUAGUUUUUUCACCAUAAUAAUUAAAUAUGGCAUGCGCGUUAUUUUAGUUAAAAGCACCAGACGUGUUUAUUUAAAUGUCAUAUUCAGCAUUGACGCUAACGAUAUAUUUCAUGAGGGUCGAAUGAUAAAUGAUGCCGAAAAUGGAGACGCAAAACAAUAUUGUGUAAUGAAAAUAGUUGAAGUCAACCAAACUCCCCAUCUAUGCACUUUCGCCGACAGAGACAUUGCAAUUGGCGAGGAACUCCGAUAUGAUUAUGGAGUACCAACACUUCCAUGGAGAAAGAAAUGCACGGAGCAAAAAAUGGAAAUGUACGGAACAAAAAAGGGCAACACAAUGACUACUAGAUCUACGGACAGCCAGGAACCAGGACAAACAACAUCC